rnacentral:rRNA from 1 species
CCUACGGGAGGCAGCAGUAGGGAAUAUUGCACAAUGGGCGAAAGCCUGAUGCAGCAACGCCGCGUGUGCGAUGAAGGCCUUCGGGUCGUAAAGCACUUUUAGAGAGGAUGAGGAAGGACAGUACUCUCUGAAUAAGCCUCGGCUAACUACGUGCCAGCAGCCGCGGUAAAACGUAGGAGGCGAGCGUUAUCCGGAUUUACUGGCGUAAAGCGCGUGCAGGCGGUAAGGAAAGUUGGAUGUGAAAGCUCCUGGCUUAACUGGGAGAGGUCGUUCAAAACUACCUAACUAGAGUAUGGGAGAGGGAGGCGGAAUUCCGGGUGUAGUGGUGAAAUGCGUAGAUAUCCGGAGGAACACCAGUGGCGAAAGCGGCCUUCUGGCCCAAAACUGACGCUCAGACGCGAAAGCUAGGGUAGCAAACGGGAUUAGAGACCCCGGUAGUCCUAGCUGUAAACGAUGUAGACUUGGCGUCGGCGGGUUUAAAUCCGUCGGUGUCGAAGCUAACGCGAUAAGUCUACCGCCUGGGGACUACGGCCGCAAGGUUAAAACUCAAAGGAAUUGACGGGGCCCCGCACAAGCAGCGGAGCGUGUGGUUUAAUUCGAUGCUACACGAAGAACCUUACCAGGGUUUGACAUAUAAGUGGUAGGGAAGGGAAACCGGACCGACCCUUCGGGGAGCUAUGAG